rnacentral:misc_RNA from 1 species
UUAAGUUCAGCGGGUAUUCCUACCUGAUCCGAGGUCAACCUUGUGCCGCCUACGCGGGCUUGUGAGGGGUUUAGAGGCUGGUGCCCGAGGGCUCCCGAUGCGAGGCGAAUGCUACUACGCAAAGGAAGGGCCGCUACGGGUCCGCCACUGGUUUUCAGGGCCUACUAUAGGGCGUAGAUCCCCAACACCGGGCCACUAGG